AAUGAACGUUGGCGGCGUGCCUAACACAUGCAAGUCGAGCGUGAAAGUCCUUCGGGAUGAGUAAAGCGGCAGACGGGUGAGUAACGCGUGAGAAUUUUCCUUUCAGUGAAGAAUACCUUUGGGAAACUAAAGUUAAUACUGCAUACGUCUCGAAAGAGAGAAAGAUGGCCUAAUUGCUGUCGCUGAAAGAUAAGCUUGCGUUCUAUUAGCUAGUUGGUGAGGUAAUUGCUCACCAAGGCGAUGAUGGAUAGCCGGCCUGAGAGGGCGAACGGCCACA
rnacentral:rRNA from 1 species